rnacentral:rRNA from 1 species
UUAAGUUAUUAAGGGCGCACGGUGGAUGCCUUGGCACUAGAAGCCGAUGAAGGACGUUACUAACGACGAUAUGCUUUGGGGAGCUGUAAGUAAGCUUUGAUCCAGAGAUUUCCGAAUGGGGAAACCCAGCAUGAGUUAUGUCAUGUUAUCGAUAUGUGAAUACAUAGCAUAUCAGAAGGCACACCCGGAGAACUGAAACAUCUUAGUACCCGGAGGAAGAGAAAGAAAAUUCGAUUCCCUUAGUAGCGGCGAGCGAAACGGGAAGAGCCCAAACCAACAAGCUUGCUUGUUGGGGUUGUAGGACACUCUAUACGGAGUUACAAAGGACGACAUUAGACGAAUCAUCUGGAAAGAUGAAUCAAAGAAGGUAAUAAUCCUGUAGUCGAAAAUGUUGUCUCUCUUGAGUGGAUCCUGAGUACGACGGAGCACGUGAAAUUCCGUCGGAAUCUGGGAGGACCAUCUCCUAAGGCUAAAUACUCUCUAGUGACCGAUAGUGAACCAGUACCGUGAGGGAAAGGUGAAAAGCACCCCGGAAGGGGAGUGAAAUAGAACCUGAAACCGUGUGCUUACAAGUAGUCAGAGCCCGUUAAUGGGUGAUGGCGUGCCUUUUGUAGAAUGAACCGGCGAGUUACGAUUUGAUGCAAGGUUAAGCAGUAAAUGUGGAGCCGUAGCGAAAGCGAGUCUGAAUAGGGCGUUUAGUAUUUGGUCGUAGACCCGAAACCAGGUGAUCUACCCUUGGUCAGGUUGAAGUUCAGGUAACACUGAAUGGAGGACCGAACCGACUUACGUUGAAAAGUGAGCGGAUGAACUGAGGGUAGCGGAGAAAUUCCAAUCGAACCUGGAGAUAGCUGGUUCUCUCCGAAAUAGCUUUAGGGCUAGCCUCAAGUGAUGAUUAUUGGAGGUAGAGCACUGUUUGGACGAGGGGCCCCUCUCGGGUUACCGAAUUCAGACAAACUCCGAAUGCCAAUUAAUUUAACUUGGGAGUCAGAACAUGGGUGAUAAGGUCCGUGUUCGAAAGGGAAACAGCCCAGACCACCAGCUAAGGUCCCAAAAUAUAUGUUAAGUGGAAAAGGAUGUGGCGUUGCCCAGACAACUAGGAUGUUGGCUUAGAAGCAGCCAUCAUUUAAAGAGUGCGUAAUAGCUCACUAGUCGAGUGACACUGCGCCGAAAAUGUACCGGGGCUAAACAUAUUACCGAAGCUGUGGAUUGUCCUUUGGACAAUGGUAGGAGAGCGUUCUAAGGGCGUUGAAGCAUGAUCGUAAGGACAUGUGGAGCGCUUAGAAGUGAGAAUGCCGGUGUGAGUAGCGAAAGACGGGUGAGAAUCCCGUCCACCGAUUGACUAAGGUUUCCAGAGGAAGGCUCGUCCGCUCUGGGUUAGUCGGGUCCUAAGCUGAGGCCGACAGGCGUAGGCGAUGGAUAACAGGUUGAUAUUCCUGUACCACCUAUAAUCGUUUUAAUCGAUGGGGGGACGCAGUAGGAUAGGCGAAGCGUGCGAUUGGAUUGCACGUCUAAGCAGUAAGGCUGAGUAUUAGGCAAAUCCGGUACUCGUUAAGGCUGAGCUGUGAUGGGGAGAAGACAUUGUGUCUUCGAGUCGUUGAUUUCACACUGCCGAGAAAAGCCUCUAGAUAGAAAAUAGGUGCCCGUACCGCAAACCGACACAGGUAGUCAAGAUGAGAAUUCUAAGGUGAGCGAGCGAACUCUCGUUAAGGAACUCGGCAAAAUGACCCCGUAACUUCGGGAGAAGGGGUGCUCUUUAGGGUUAACGCCCAGAAGAGCCGCAGUGAAUAGGCCCAAGCGACUGUUUAUCAAAAACACAGGUCUCUGCUAAACCGUAAGGUGAUGUAUAGGGGCUGACGCCUGCCCGGUGCUGGAAGGUUAAGAGGAGUGGUUAGCUUCUGCGAAGCUACGAAUCGAAGCCCCAGUAAACGGCGGCCGUAACUAUAACGGUCCUAAGGUAGCGAAAUUCCUUGUCGGGUAAGUUCCGACCCGCACGAAAGGCGUAACGAUUUGGGCACUGUCUCAACGAGAGACUCGGUGAAAUCAUAGUACCUGUGAAGAUGCAGGUUACCCGCGACAGGACGGAAAGACCCCGUGGAGCUUUACUGUAGCCUGAUAUUGAAAUUCGGCACAGCUUGUACAGGAUAGGUAGGAGCCUUUGAAACGUGAGCGCUAGCUUACGUGGAGGCGCUGGUGGGAUACUACCCUAGC